UAGGGAAUCUUCCACAAUGGGCGAAAGCCUGAUGGAGCAACGCCGCGUGCAGGAUGAAUGUCUUCGGAUUGUAAACUGCUUUUAUCUGUGACGAUUAUGACGGUAGCAGAUGAAUAAGGAUCGGCUAACUCCGUGCCAGCAGCCGCGGUCAUACGGAGGAUCCAAGCGUUAUCCGGAAUUACUGGGCGUAAAGAGUUGCGUAGGUGGCAAAGUAAGUUGGUAGUGAAAGCGUUCGGCUCAACCGAAUAUACAUUAUCAAAACUGCUUCGCUAGAGGAUGAGAGAGGUUAUUGGAAUUCCUAGUGUAGGAGUGAAAUCCGUAGAUAUUAGGAGGAACACCGAUGGCGUAGGCAGAUAACUGGCUCAUUCCUGACACUAAGGCACGAAAGCGUGGGUAGCAAACGGGAUUAGAUACCCGGGUAGUCC
rnacentral:rRNA from 1 species